AUUGAACGCUGGCGGCAUGCUUUACACAUGCAAGUCGAACGGCAGCGCGGGCUUCGGCCUGGCGGCGAGUGGCGAACGGGUGAGUAAUACAUCGGAACGUGCCCAGUAGUGGGGGAUAGCUCGGCGAAAACCGGAUUAAUACCGCAUACGACCUGAGGGUGAAAGCGGGGGAUCUUCGGACCUCGCGCUAUUGGAGCGGCCGAUGGCAGAUUAGCUAGUUGGUGGGGUAAAGGCCUACCAAGGCGACGAUCUGUAGCUGGUCUGAGAGGACGACCAGCCACACUGGGACUGAGACACGGCCCAGACUCCUACGGGAGGCAGCAGUGGGGAAUUUUGGACAAAGGGCGAAAGCCUGAUCCAGCAAUGCCGCGUGUGUGAUGAAGGCCUUCGGGUUGUAAAGCACUUUUGGCGGGAACGAAAAGGACUGUGCCAAUACCACGGUUCGAUGACGGUACCCGCAGAAUAAGCACCGGCUAACUACGUG
rnacentral:rRNA from 1 species